GUGAGGUGGUCGAGUGGUUAGGCAGCGGCCUGCAAAGCCGUGUACGCGGGUUCGAAUCCCGUCCUCAC
rnacentral:tRNA from 4 species